UACGUAGGGGGCUAGCGUUGUCCGGAAUCAUUGGGCGUAAAGAGCGUGUAGGCGGCCCCGGUAAGUCCGCUGUAAAAGUUCAAAAGGCUCAACCUUUGAAUGUCAGUGGAUACUGCCGGGCUAGAGUCCGGAAGAGGCGAGUGGAACUCCUGGGUGUAGCGGUGGAAUGCGCAGAUAUCAGGGCAAGAGCACCAACGGCGAAGGCAGCUCGCUGGGACGGUUACUGACGCAUGGAGACGCGAAAAGCGGUGGGGGAGCGGAACCAGG
rnacentral:rRNA from 1 species